UUUUUUUUUUUUUUUUUUUUAGAAUUUUUAAUUAUUUAUAAGAUUCUUUAUAGGUGAAACUAUUUUUCACAUAUAUAUAUAUCUUGCAAGAAUUUCUCAACAUAUAUAUAAUUAAAUAUUUUCAUAUUUUUAAUUUACUCAAAAAUUUUAAUUAUGAUAAUUCAAUAUUAAUUUCAUUUUAUGAAUUUUUCUAAAUUGAAUUUUCAACUCCAUUUGCUAACCCAUCCCAUGCCUGCAGGU
rnacentral:misc_RNA from 1 species